CCAUUUCCCGAUAUCCACUAUUUUAAAUAAAGAAUAAAUUUUUUAAAAAUAAUGUUUUCAAAAAUAAAAACCAUGAUUUUUCAGACUCACUCAUAAGCAUAGAGUUUUUAAAAUGGGUUGGGUCAAAUGGGCCGACCCAUUAGCCCAUACUUUUUAAGAUAAUUACUUUUGUCACCCUACCGGUUACUCGGGCGUCGUUUUCCAUUUUACCCUUCCGCUGUUUCAGUAGUGGACGUUAUAAAAAUCCUGGCAGAGUGUUUUUUCCUCAAAAUUUCUUAUUUUUAUAACAUCCGCUACUUAAGUAGAGGACGUUAUAAAAAUUUUGGUUGAUUAUUUUUUUUCUCAAAAAUCUCAUUUUUAUAACGUCUGCUACUUAAGUAACUGACGCUAUAAAAAUUUAUAAUAUCCUCUAUUUAAGUAACUGACGUUAUAAAAAUGAGUUUUUUGAGAAAAAAACACCCUCCUACAUAUAAUCCGCUACUUAAGUAGCAGACAGAAGUAUAUUGGUAAUUUCGUAGAACGCGUCCCAGAAUCAGCAAAGUGGCAAAAGUAAACCUUACUUUUUAAAGGAGUAACUCAAUGGAUUAAUUCGACCCAACCCACAAUCAACAUUUAUAUGUGAUUUUUUGAAAAAUGUUUAAUAAUUUUUUUGAAAAUUAAUAAUAAAAAUAUGAAUAAUUAUAUAAACUUAAUUAAUAAACAAAAUGGAAUCUUAGGUAAUUCUAAAAAAAAAAAAGUGGAAUAUUAGAAGCCACCAUGAA
rnacentral:lncRNA from 1 species